rnacentral:rRNA from 1 species
UCCUGGCUCAGAUUGAACGCUGGCGGCAGGCCUAACACAUGCAAGUCGAGCGGCAGCACGGGUACUUGUACCUGGUGGCGAGCGGCGGACGGGUGAGUAAUGCCUAGGAAUCUGCCUGGUAGUGGGGGAUAACGCUCGGAAACGGACGCUAAUACCGCAUACGUCCUACGGGAGAAAGCAGGGGACCUUCGGGCCUUGCGCUAUCAGAUGAGCCUAGGUCGGAUUAGCUAGUUGGUGAGGUAAUGGCUCACCAAGGCGACGAUCCGUAACUGGUCUGAGAGGAUGAUCAGUCACACUGGAACUGAGACACGGUCCAGACUCCUACGGGAGGCAGCAGUGGGGAAUAUUGGACAAUGGGCGAAAGCCUGAUCCAGCCAUGCCGCGUGUGUGAAGAAGGUCUUCGGAUUGUAAAGCACUUUAAGUUGGGAGGAAGGGCAGUUACCUAAUACGUGAUUGUUUUGACGUUACCGACAGAAUAAGCACCGGCUAACUCUGUG